UUCUUAGAGGUAUUAUUUUAAGUAGCUUCUGCUCAAUGAAUUUUAAUAGCUGCGUAAGCACUAAGGUAGCAUAAUAAAUUGUCUUUUAAAUGAAGACUGGAAUGAAUGAAGGAAUGGGGAAAGGCUUUCUUAAGGUUGAUUAAUUGAAAUUAAAUUUUUAGUAAAAAUGCUAAGAUGUUAUUUAGGGACAAGAAGACCCUAUGAAGCUUUAUAAUAUUUAAAUUGAAGAAUUUUAUUUUGUUGGGGCAACACUCUAAGAUAGGAGUUUAGAGUUAUAUUAAUUUUAUAUUAUAUUUUUUAGAGCCAUAAUUUAUGACUAUUGGAUUAAGUUACUCUAGGGAUAACAGCAUAAUUAAAUUGGAAAGUACAUAUUGAUAAUUUAGUUUAUGACCUCGAUGUUGAAUUAAUAUAACUUUUAGGUGAAGGAAUCUAAAGAGUUAGUCUGUUCGACUAUUAAAAUAUUACG
rnacentral:rRNA from 1 species